rnacentral:rRNA from 1 species
UACGUAGGGUGCAAGCGUUGUCCGGAAUUAUUGGGCGUAAAGAGCUCGUAGGCGGCUUGUCGCGUCGGCUGUGAAAACCCGGGGCUCAACCCCGGGCCUGCAGUCGAUACGGGCAGGCUAGAGUCCGGCAGGGGAGACUGGAAUUCCUGGUGUAGCGGUGAAAUGCGCAGAUAUCAGGAGGAACACCGGUGGCGAAGGCGGGUCUCUGGGCCGGAACUGACGCUGAUGCGCGAAAGCGUGGGGAGCAAACAGG